CAGGGAGGGAGGGAGUGGGGGCUGGAAACCGCGGAAGGCGCUUAUCUGCAUCGGACAGGUUCAGCCCUGCAGCCUCCCAGGGCUGAGUCAGCCCGUCCCGCCCCUUCCCCACCCAGCCUCCCGCGGGAAUUUCUCCAGCCAGGCUGUGCUGGGGGAGGGGAGGCAGGGAGCCUGGGUUCUGGUCCUGACUCGGCUCGCUGAGCACUCCGGAGGGAGCAACAGAUCAGUCAAGAUUCUCAGCUCUUUCAGGAGAGCGAGGAGGAGAAGUAACAUUUUUGCAAUAUUGCUAUUCUCAAAUUCUUGCUGUCUCUUUGUACAAAACAGUAUGCAAUAGAAGGUGGAUGACAACAACAAAAUGACAAACAGGACCAGAACCAAUGGAAUGGCUAAAUAAAGUGAUGGAAGUUUAGAUCCUUGUAUUCUUUUUUUUUUUUUGGUGUGAGGAUGGAAUUUAGGAUCGUGUGCUUGCGAGGUAGGCAGCGGAACCACUGAGCUAAAUUUCCA
rnacentral:lncRNA from 1 species